UCCUACGGGGCGCAGCAGUGGGGAAUAUUGCACAAUGGGGGAAACCCUGAUGCAGCAACGCCGCGUGGGUGAAGGAGCGUUUCGGCGCGUAAAGCCCUGUCAGCGGGGAAGAAGAAAGACGGUACCCGACCAAGAAGCCCCGGCUAACUACGUGCCAGCAGCCGCGGUAAUACGUAGGGGGCAAGCGUUAUCCGGAUUUACUAGGUGUAAAGGGAGCGUAGACGGUGCAGCAAGUCUGAUGUGAAAGGUCGGGGCCCAACCCCGGGACUGCAUUGGAAACUGUUGAACUGGAGUACAGGAGAGGG
rnacentral:rRNA from 1 species